GCAGCGCGCCUGCGCAGCGCGUGCCAGCCAGCGCGAAGCCGCUGAGCUUGCAGAGGCCGUCGCCGAAGGGCCAGCGGCCGCCGCUCGCCGCCGCCGCGGCCCACAGCGGCAGCGUGAGCACGAAGCCCAGGUCGGCGGCGGCCAGGUGCAGCACGAAGGUGUCCACGAGGCGCCGCGGGCCGCGCCGUCGGGCCAGCAGCCACACCACGAAGGCGUUGCCCAGCAGGCCCACCAGGAAGGCCGCCAGGGACUCCCCACAGGAUUAGAAACAAGCCAAUGAAUAGAAUAUUCAUCCUGCUCAGCUGAGAUUCUUGGCCAGACUCUGACAGGUGUCAAUAAAGCAAAGCAGAAGUGGUCUCCCCUCUUUCUCCGUCUCACCCUCGGGAGCCUUCUCUGGCCUCCAUCCCUUAUGGGCCUUCCCCUCUCUGGACCGACUUUGUUAUGCGGGUCAGCCUUGCCUUGCCCACAGAGCUUUUCUCUGUCCAUCACUGUGAUGGGUACCAGCCUGAGAACAAGAUACCUAAUAAAUAUCCAAUGCUUUGAACUAGGUUA